rnacentral:rRNA from 1 species
UACGGGGGGGGGCAAGCGUUGUUCGGAAUUACUGGGCGUAAAGGGCUCGUAGGGGGCCAACUAAGUCAGACGUGAAAUCCCUCGGCUUAACCGGGGAACUGCGUCUGAUACUGGAUGGCUUGAGUUUGGGAGAGGGAUGCGGAAUUCCAGGUGUAGCGGUGAAAUGCGUAGAUAUCUGGAGGAACACCGGUGGCGAAGGCGGCAUCCUGGACCAACACUGACACUGAGGAGCGAAAGCCAGGGGAGCAAACGGG